AACGGUCUAUACCUGCGGUACCUGCGGAAGGAUCAUUACCGAGUUUACAAAACUCCCAAACCCUUUGUGAACCUUACCUAUCGUUGCUUCGGCGGGAACGCCCCGGCGCCCUCGCGGCCCGGAACCAGGCGCCCGCCGGAGGCCCCAAACCCUCAUGUCUUUAGUGGUUUCCUCCUCUGAGUGACAUAAACAAAUAAAGUAAAAACUUUCAACAAUGGAUCUCUAGAUCGGAAGAGCACA
rnacentral:misc_RNA from 1 species